GGCAGAGGGGGGUGGAAUUCCACGUGUAGCAGUGAAAUGCGUAGAGAUGUGGAGGAACACCAAUGGCGAAGGCAGCCCCCUGGGUCGAUACUGACGCUCAUGCACGAAAGCGUGGGUAGCAAACAGGAUUAGAUACCCUGGUAGUCCACGCCCUAAACGAUGUCAACUAGGUGUUGGGAGGGUAAAACCUUUUAGUGCCGUAGCUAACG
rnacentral:rRNA from 1 species